rnacentral:lncRNA from 1 species
AUAUAGAUUAAAUGAUUUGGAUGGUAGGAAUAGAUGCUAUUAUUUUUUUUUUUUUUUUUGAGAGAGAGAUAGGUAAAAUGUUACCCGCUUCGUUUAUUUUAUUUAGAAAUAAACUUAGAUAGAAAUGCGAAUCAACUAGAAUUUUAACUUAAAAUCUCGGAUACCAAACAUCAAAUCCUUUGCCACUCGGACUAGGGACGGUUGGUAAAUAGAUG